rnacentral:piRNA from 1 species
UAAACGUGCAGACCUCCGCUACCCCG